rnacentral:lncRNA from 1 species
CUUGACGCGGCGAGUCCAAGGCGCAGUUGUCGAUCGAGUUCAAGGCGGAGUUGGAUCACGGGGCCGAUCUAUUGCCACAAGAUCGUGUGGGCAUGGUCCUGAAAAAAAAAAAUCCAAUCUGCUGCGCGUUACUGCUAUAUUUGUCUGUUCCUGGCCGCGAGAUCGUGCCGCCGCCUGAUUAAUCUCGGCUACUGCCGCUGCUGUUCCAAGCAUUGCUGUUCCGUUGUGCAGUGCUGGUGCCGUCAUCAAUCGCACACGGAUCAAGGUGGACUGCUGCUGCCGGUUGCGACAGGAGAGAAGAAAAAAAUCUGCCCUCUGCUGCUAUGCGUGGAGCAAAUUUGUGAAUUCUACGGUCAGAACAUCUAUCCUUCAGGUUUUAUCUAUAGUCUAUUGUAUCUAUGAUCUGAUAUUUUCUUUAUUUAGCUACAGCUUCAAAACUUAGUAGUUUCACUAUCCUAGCUCC